ACUUAGCUUAAUAAUAAUAAUAAUUAAACCUGUAUAUUGCAAAUAUACACACAGGUAUUUAUAUGCAUACAUAUGUAUUGUUUAUCACUUUUUAAUUGAAAAGUAACUAUAAAUGUUCAUUGUAACACCAUGAAACCAUUGUGACUCAAAAACAUGAAAAUAGAAGCAGAAAAGUUAACAAAACACAAAAAUUGAGUCACUGCUAAAAUUUUUGAGCGUAACUUUUGUCACCUUUUCUUACAUAUCAGCAUUCGUCUAUUGUUAGACGGCGUAACUCUCUUGUGCUUACUUUUUGUGCAUAGCAACAAAAACGACAACAAAACAUUCGACAGUCCCAGUUGAGUAUAUAAUACAAACGUCUAUAAGGGGGCGGGAACCUUUUUGGCUGAGAGAGCCAUGAAAGCCAAAUGUGUAUUUCUGUGAGAGCCAUAUCAUAUUUUUUAACACUGAAUACAAUGAACGGCGUGCAUUUUUAAGUAAGACCAACAUUUUUAGAGUAUUAUAAAUCUCUUAUUCUGAAACUAACCCAUAAUAAAUAAAAUACUUCUUACCAUUAAAGGGGAACAUUAUCACCAGACCUAUGUAAGCGUCACUAUAUACCUUGAUGUUGCAGAAAAAAUACCAUAUGUUUUUAACCGAUUUCCGAACUCUAAAAGGGUGGAUUUGGCAAUUUAAACGCCUUUCAAUUGAUAGCCUGUUGAGCGAUGACCUUUCACCCGUGACAUCACAACAUGAAGCAAUCCGCCAUUUUCUCAAUCUUAUUACACGCACCAAGUCAAAUUAGCUCGGUUAUUUUCCGUUUUUUCGACUGUUUUCCCGUACCUUGGAGACAUCAUGCCUCGUCGGUGUGUUGUUGGAGGGUGUAACAACACGAACAGAGACGGAUUCAAGUUGCAACAGUGGCCAAAAGAUGUGAAAGUCCCUCGUUGGUUCUGCACACUGUACCGACGACAGCUAUGCUAUGACAGAGAUGGCAAGAAUGUGUGGAUAUCCUGCGACACUCAAAGCAGAUGCAUUUCCUUCGAUAAAGUCAACGAAAUCAGAAAGGUGAGUUUUGUUGAUGUUAUUGACUUAUGUGGAGUGAGCUAAUCAGACAUAUUUGGUCACGGCAUGACUGCAAGCUAAUCGAUGCUAACAUGCUAUUUAGGCUAGCCGUAUGUACAUAUUUCAUACAUCUUAUGCCUCAUUUGUAGCUACAUUUGCAUCCAGCCUUUCCCUCCACCCAUUUUUAAUGCCAAACGAACACAUACCAAUCGUUGGUUAGAAGGCGAUCGCCGAAUUCGUCCGCGCUUCCUCCCGUGCCGCUGUCUGUCGUGAUAUGGCUCAAUAGCUUAAGUUUCUUCUUCAAUUUCAUUGUCGGUACCUGGCUCCACACUCCAACCAUCCGUUUCAAUACAUGCGUAAUCUUUUGAAUCGCUUGCGCUGCUGAAAUCCGAGUCUGAAUCCCAGCUACUAUGCUAUACCUUUCUGUGCUAUCCGCCAUGUUUGUUUUUGGUGGCUUCACACAGUGACGUCACAGGACAAUAGACGGGUGGAUAUGUGGGCCUACCGAGGAUGUCGUAGUGGUUUGCGCAGCCCUUUGAGACACUAGUGAUUUAGGGCUAUAUAAGUAAACAUUGAUUGAUUGAUUUAUAUAACAACGGUUAAGAUCAGGCACUUUGAAGCCGUUUUUCGGGAUAUUGCGUGAUGGGUAAAAUUUAGAGAAAAACUUCGAAAAAUAAAAUAAGCCACUGGGAACUGAUUUUUAUUGGUUUUAACCCUUCAGAAAUUGUGAUAAUUUUCCCCUUUAAUGAAAACUUCUUGAACAGGUGAAAACAGAUGGAUGGAUUAAAUGCAUGAGAAUGUUUUAUAUUUUGAACGUUAUUUUUAACACUGUGAUUACCAGCGGAAUUAUUCAUUACUUAUCGUGUUAAGCAAUGUCAGCUAAGACUUAUCCGAGAGCCAGAUGCAGUCCUCACAUCUGGCUCGCGAGCCAUAGGUUCCCUACCCCUGGUCUAUAUACUCGGUGGUAUACAAAGUGAUGCAAACUGAGUUGUCCUUUUUUUAUUUAGGAAUCACACAAGCUAUGACAUCAACAUGCACCCACGCACGCACGCACGCACGCACGCACGCACGCACGCGCACACACACACACACACACACACACACACACACACACACACACACACACACACACACACACACACACACACACACACACAGAGUAUUCAAACCAGCGGCUAUCAGUUGGGUCUAACAAGUUUUGCGUUCAGGUCGUACUUCUCGCAAAACUCGUCGGUGAUGGGGAUGCAGGUGAGGUACUCGCACCAAUCGCACUUCACAGGGUAAACAUAGAAGAGGACGGCCAAGGCGAAGACUAGACCGAGGAAUACCAGCAGGAACACGCAGAUCUGAACCCUCUUGCGGUACAUAUCUAAACGUCCGAAGCUGAAAAGACAACAAAAAAAGAGGUAACCAUCCAGGGGUUAGGUACCGGAGUACGUGCGGCCUAAAUGCAGUAAGUUGCGUGUGUACGUGAUUAAUGCGAUCAGUUUUGACUUAAUCGUUUUACGUUUCAGUGUUGCUCGUUGUGUUGGUUCUGACCCCAGGCUACAGAGACAGCGGCCAAAUUGCAGGAGAAAUGUGUUUAGUGACACAACAAAAAUAGUGCAGCAGGGUAGUGCACAGGAAGCAUAAGGAAAGCUAUGCAGCAUGGACGUACAAAAAAAAAAGCACAAGGAUCCAGCCCUGUCCAUAAAAAUCAUCCUGAUUGGCAGACAGGGACAGGUGAGGGAGCCAGCAGUCGGACAGAAGUAGGCAAAAAGGGAAUUGAAACAAGAGUGCUGAACAGUAAAAAAACAAAAAGUGAUGUACUGUGUAGCAUUGUAUUGUGAUUGCUCCUCUCAGGUUAUUAAUGAUAAUCGACACAGUUCAUUAAAAUCGAACAGUGAAACCUCAACUUAGGAUUCCCCCAACUUUAGAGUGUUUUGAGAUAAGAGCUGUCCCUCACGUAAAUUUUAGGCUUUAAGUUGCAAGCAAAAAUGUGAGAUACAAGCAUCCCCGCCAUAGAGUUGCGUAGCAAAUGUAACAGUGAACCCCCUGAAAUUUGCCCAAAACAUCUUAUCUUACUUGCUAGCAUUAGCUGAUAGAUUUACAAAUCGAGAUAACUUUGUAUUUUCAAGAAAGGUAAGGACAAUGCUAAGAGGAAGAAGUGGAUGAUAUUUAUUAAAUCAAAGAAAGAGAUAAUCAGAAACAUGAUCGUGUAUGUUGCCAUUGUGACAGAGUAAUUUGAGCGUAUCUCUGCUAGUCUGCACCAUACUGAAACAGAAUGAGUGUAAUGCCAGCCAUGACUGUUGAAAUAUUAUCUAAACGUCAAACAUUUGUCAAUGAAAACAAGGCAAAAGCUGCUGAUGGUGUGUUUGACGCAGAAGCAGCUGGAAGGAGAUACCGUAGAAGUGCACUCUCCCAGGUAAAAUACAGUACAUUAAUUUUACAUUACUUCAAAAAACUGUUGCAGUUGUUAGUAGCACAUUAUAUUGUAUUGUUUUAAUAUUAACUUUCUUAUUUUAAAGUUUGUUUUUCGAUUGAAAAGACAUUAAACAUGUUUAAAUUGUGCUGUUAGGUGCCCAAUCACGAAACCAAUCAAGUUUGUAAAUAGAGAUACUACAAUAUAUAGGAAUACUGAAAAUAAUCCAAAAUUCCAACCCUUCGCAUAUUUUGUCGUGUACUUAUGUAAUCGGGACAUCAUUUGAUUAAAGCGAUCGCUUCUCUCCUAAUUAAUGACAGUCACACCCUUGCACAAAUAAAACUAUUAAAAUGACUUAAAACAGGCAAGUCAAAAUCAGAGAAAUUGCCGUAAUACAGCGGAAUUUAAGUGAUGGAAUAACAUGUUCUUUUAUAGCAGGUGAGUAGAACUGUAACACUGAAUGUAGCAAAGCCUUUGCGAUUGUAUAACAGAGAUGUUUUUAAUCACGGUUAAUAGUAAAACAGGUAAAUCAUUGCAACUUAAGUCCCAGUGUAAGUGUACCCUUAGAUAUACAGUGGACCCUCGAUUUAUUAAGCCUUAUUUUGCAAACUUUUUGAUUUACAAACAAUUAGAUCGGGCCAAAUGUGCUUCCGUGUGCGAACCAAAGCUUCAUUCACUAAUUUUGUGUCCUGCAAAUUUUUAAUUGUGAUGAGACCGGACUUUUCUGGAAAAAGAUGCCAAAGCGAGCUUAUAGUACAGCAAAGGAGAGGACACUACCUCUUGUUAGGUGGCGUCUUUUUCAAUAACCCACACACACACACACACAGACACACACACACGCACGCACGCACACACACACACCGCCCUUCUUCCCCCGUCUGCUCUUUUCUCUCCUCUCCUCAGCUGCUCAUUUGCCAAUGACAAUGUAAAUUGGAUUUUAUUUUUUGCAAAUUUGUAUUAUUGUAGCAAUACGGUUAUUAAACUUAAGGAUUUGUGUGAUUUCUGAUCAUUUGUAAAGGCAACAAAGGGACUUCUGUGUAUUUGCGCGUGUUGGCACAGCAGCGCAUACAGAGGACAGUUCAGCUUGCUGUUGGUGUUGUUUUAGCUUGUUAAUAAUGAGAGAGUUGAUCCAUUCCUCCCUUGUUAUGUUUGUUAGAUAUACAGUAAUGUUUAGCACCUUAUUUUGUGAUUAAAGCAUACAAACCUUCACCAAAAUAUGGACUUUUGUCAAGGCUUGACCACAUUAUUCAUUUAGACCUUGUUUCUUAUAGAGAACUUAGCGUCAAUAUACAAACUUUUCUAUUUACGAACCCUGUUCCAAAAGCAAAUGAUGUUUGUAAAUCGAGAUUGAACAGUAUAUAAACAUGUACAAAAUAAUACAAUGCUAGUGGCUGAUUGACCUACCUGAUAUACGGCAGGAAGGCAAAGGACAGGAAAAAUCCUGAGACAAAACCACCGAUGUGGGCAAAGUUGUCGAUCCAGGGCAGCAAGCCGAAAGAGAAGAAGAACGCUGAAAUGGCAAACAGCUUGGCAAACGCCCACCAUGGACGCUCAAGGAUCUGCCAGCUCUGAAA